rnacentral:rRNA from 1 species
AGUCGAACGGCAGCACGGAGCUUGCUCUGGUGGCGAGUGGCGAACGGGUGAGUAAUGCGUCGGAACGUAUCCACUAAUGGGGGAUAACGCAUCGAAAGAUGUGCUAAUACCGCGUACGACCUACGGGAGAAAGCAGGGGACCCUCGGGCCUUGCGUUAGUGGAGCGGCCGACGUCUGAUUAGCUAGUUGGUGAGGUAAAGGCUCACCAAGGCGACGAUCAGUAGCUGGUCUUGAGAGGAUGAUCAGCCACACUGGAACUGAGACACGGUCCAAACUUCUACGGGAGGCAGCAAGUGGGGAAUUUUGGACAAUGGGCGCAAGCCUGAUCCAGCCAUUCCGCGUGAGUGAANAAGGCCUUCGGGNUGNAAAGCUCUUUCAACAGGGAAGAAACGAUGAGGGUUAAUAACCCUUAUUAAUGACG